AGGGGAACAGAUAAAGAGUAACACCAAUUUUCCCUCCCCUCCCAGGCAGAGAUGUUUGAACAAUGGAGUCUGAUCUGACUAGAGCUGAAAGUAGUCAAUGGAAGAAAAGUUAUAGUCAAGGGAAGGAACAGGUGGGAGAAGCAGGAGGCUCAGCUAUGGCAUAGACCAUUGGAGACAACAACAUCAUACUCAGAAGAGAGAUCAGAGCUGGGGACAUAGAUCUGGGAAACAUCUUUAAAGAGAUCAUAGCUGAAGCUGUGGAACUACAUGAAAUCACUAUGGGAGAUAGCUGGAUUUUCAAUCGGGUGAUCCAGGGUCAGUCCUUGGCUCUAUUCUUUGACCAAGAGAUGUUGGGCAAAUCUCUUUUGAUUUCUGGGUAUUAUUAGUUCCUCAUCAUUAAAAUGAGAGGGUCAGACUAGAUGAACUCGGUCAUCUGCUGUUCUAAAUCUAGGAUCUUGUUCCUCAACUAGGGAACACAAAUUAAAAUAGUUCAGAAGAGAACAAGAAAUUGAGCAAAGAAGCACAGAACACUCAAGGACUCCAGGAGAGAAAAUGCACUCCAGGAGAGAAAAUGCAAAAAGGCAGCAAACAAAGUAAAACAAGAUGAGGACUGAAGAAAAGGGAAAUGAGAUUCAGCAAUUAAGAAGUCUAUGAUGAUUGUCAAGACAGCAUUCAAUAGUAAUAGUGAUAGGGUCAGAAAUCCAGUCUCCAGGGCCCCUUCAAGGUAAGGGCAAUGAUGAAUUGGUUUUCAAGAUCCUUGCAAGUGGGCUGGGGGGAGAAAUAUAAACUAUAUAAAAAACAACAUCCAUUUGCAACAA